rnacentral:rRNA from 1 species
GACGAACGCUGGCGGCGUGCUUAACACAUGCAAGUCGAACGGUGAAGCGAGUGCUUGCACUCGUGGAUCAGUGGCGAACGGGUGAGUAACACGUGAGUAACCUGCCCAUCACUCUGGGAUAAGCACUGGAAACGGUGUCUAAUACUGGAUACGACCAACCCUUGCAUGGGGUGUUGGUGGAAAGAUUUAUCGGUGAUGGAUGGACUCGCGGCCUAUCAGCUUGUUGGCGGGGUAAUGGCCCACCAAGGCGACGACGGGUAGCCGGCCUGAGAGGGUGACCGGCCGCACUGGGACUGAGACACGGCCCAGACUCCUACGGGAGGCAGCAGUGGGGAAUAUUGCACAAUGGGCGAAAGCCUGAUGCAGCGACGCCGCGUGAGGGAUGACGGCCUUCGGGUUGUAAACCUCUUUCAGCAGGGAAGAAGCGAAAGUGACGGUACCCGCAGAAGAAGCACCGGCUAACUACGUG